AGAGUCUUUUGGCUAAGACCAAAUGCAAUGUGGCUACAAUUAAGCAUAAUGUUUGUUCUUACCAGUUUAAUACCUGAUAUGUUCUCUGUGUGAGAACUAUCUAUUAAAUGGAUUUUUGAAGCAGGCAGCUGAAAUAGGCACUUGCUCCAUUCACUUCAUGCACAAACUGGUAUUGCAGUGCUUCUAGGGAAGUAAUCACU
rfam:Pelodiscus sinensis unplaced genomic scaffold scaffold1971, whole genome shotgun sequence.